GUGAAAUUAUCCAUCCAACGAGAAGUCGACGGUGAUAUCGACGCAGGAUCAGUUGAGGAGGUUCUGCCUGGAAGGUUCUCUGUGUUCAAUCUAGAUCCUAAAGUGUCCAAGAUCUUCGUUGGCGGCAUACCUGCAGGCGUGGAAAUCGACAAGUCCAUCAGGAGCACGUCAUUCUUUGGACAAAUAGAAGACCUGAGAAUUAAUGACCGACCACUUGGUCUCUGGAAUUUCAUACAUAAUGGAACAAAUAACAUUUACCAGCGAGGAGCCUUAGAGAGAGAUAAGUUGGUUGACCUGAAACCAGUAACCGGUUUACGCUUUGAUGGCAAUGGAUACGCGGCCCUUGAUACCCGUAAUGGAUACCGCUUCCAAAAACUGUUCGACAUACAGAUAGACUUCAAGACGUUGCAGAGGACGGAAUUCUGUUUAUGAUAGUUAGUGAGAGUGAUCAGUACAUGAGUGUCUCUCUGGAAGAGGGCCACAUGCUUUUCCAGUAUGAUUUAGGAACUGGUGGUGCGACAAUAAGAUCAGAACACGUACAAUGAUGGGCAGUGGCACCACGUGGAAGUGGCCAGGCAGCAAAAGGCCGGCGUCCUGAAGAUAGCUCAAGAGACCAUUCAAGGAGAAUCAGGAGGCAGUGCAACACAGUUCAAAGACAUUCCAGAGGUCAUGUACUUCGGUGGUUAUCCAGGGAGAGCACGAGUUCACAGACAUCACCAAUGAUGAUUUCAACGGCUGCAUGGACAACGUUAUCUUGUCGUCCGUUAAUGUUGACCUCACAAAGAGCACGGAGUCCCUUGGCACGGUACCGGGAUGUCCAAU